GCUACGAUAGUUUAUUUUCAAAACACUAGCCUGUGACGCUAGAAAGGGACACCCACGCAGCU
rnacentral:tRNA from 1 species